ensembl:miRNA Gm24132 predicted gene, 24132
UGUAUGUAUGUAUAUGUGUAUGUGUAUGUGUAUCUAUGUAUGUAUGUACACACACACACACACACACACACGCACA